ACCAUGUGAAGCUGAACCAGAGCUCUGGAGGAAUGUGUGGAUAUCUGAUUGGUUGUUAAUGAGGAGUUCAAGCUGGUCCUAUAACUAAGCAGACGGUUAGCCACAGUGUGAGCCCUGGGGACCGGUUUUCUCUGAGUCGAGGAUUGGAAAGGCAUCCAGACAGGUCUGCACAGCUAAGACAACGAGGGCUGUGGACUUGUCACCUUGCAUGGAAAGCCCUUGGACUGCACAGAGUAGCCUUUGCUCCCUCCAGCAGCAUCAAAUGACCCAUCCAAUUGGACAUCCAGUCUCACCCUGGUGGUGGAAGGAAACAUUUAUCCAGAAGAAGAGACUAUCAUAGCCAGAGCAGUGCAUCCCUUAUUUGCCCUGUCUCUGGAUCUCAUACAGGCAAUUUCACUCUGUCAUACAUAAAGGAAGCAACACCUGUUAUUAAAACACUUUGGAAAUCAUUGGUAAAUAGCCUUUAUAAACAUCAAACACAGGAGAGAUAAGCAGUUGGAUAAAACAACAAAUUGUGUGCCCUCAAUACCAUGAAGGCAGUACUGAGGGAAAUGUAUUUUCCCAUAAGAAAUAUUCAGGAAAACCUGCAGAUACUGCAAGAAGUGAGAGGAAAGGAUGGAGACUUAGAAAGCACAAGUAUUCUCCUUUCUCAGAGGUGGGAGGACAGGUAGUGGGCCUGUUCCUCACAGACAACAAAGGAGAUGUUAAAUUUCAAAAUGAAGUUUUGAUUUUUUGAAACCUGAAUGGAGAUCCUGAGACUUUAAUUGAUUUAGGGUUUGGUGUUCCUACAAACUUCCUUUAGUCCAAGAAUUUCAUUCUGUGUUAUCCAAGUCUUUGUCAAUGUGUCCAAGCUCCUUGUUCCCUGGGCAUUGGAACCUUUAUGCCCUUGGUGUGUGCAGGAUGUCAGGCUCUGUCCUGUUCUCCAGGAACCGAUAAGCCCUAUUCAUGCUAGGCCUUUCCAGUCUUUUCAUCCCUGGAAAAUAAAAAGUCUGAAAUAUUA